rnacentral:tRNA from 4 species
GGGCAGAUAGCUCAGUCGGUAGAGCACGGGACUGAAAAUCCCGGUGUCGCCGGUUCGAUCCCGGCUCUGCCCACCA